CUUAGAAGCAGACCUCAUGUUGUUUCGACAAAGACACCACCCUUUGCUGUUGCAUUUCUUACAAGAGUGCCAGGGGGCAGAAGUUAUUUUCACUGACUAGACAGGUUUGAAGAUGAAGGUAGUAAUCAAUGAUGAGAAUCUUGCACAUCAGAGAGCGCUAGCUUUGAUGGAGGCUUCACCAAUAGGUGGUUCUCCCCAGAUGAGCAAUGCAAGGAAUGAUGGGCUCAAACAUCAGCUUCGUGUUGUUUUCCAUUGCUGCUGAAGUGAAGAGCUCAGGAGACCUCAUGUUAUUGGACAAAUGACACCACCGAUUGCCGUUGCAUUUCUUACUAGAAUGCCAAGGGACAGAAGUUAUUUGCAUUGAGAGUUUGAAGAUGAAGGCAGUAGUUAUCAAUGAUGUUAAUUUAGCUCAUUAGAUAGCAUUAGCUUUGAUGGAUGUUUCGCAAAUAGUUGGUUCUCCCCAGGUUCCUCAAACAUAAGUUUUUCGGUUUCUCCUGGUCAGAAUGCAGAAAGGAAGCAGGCUUGUAGAGUGUGAUAUGGAUGAAGAAGAAAGAGAGGGGAGCAUCAUCCGAGCAUGGAAGCUGAUGCUGGAGACCUAUCAAGAUGCGCAGCUGAUUAUAGUCAAACUGGACUGAUGGAUGUUUGUGACAGUAGACACAAUAAAUUGGAUAAACAAUCAAUUUGGAGCAGUGAGAAAUGUAGAUGCAAGAAGUCUUGAAUUGCACAAAGAUCCAAGGAAGAGCAGGGAAAACGUUCUUUUCAGUAGAUAUGUGCAUAUUUUGUGAAGAAUUAACACUUUUUAAAAUAUGGCAUUUCAUACUUUUGGUGUAUCAGAAUGUGACAAGUCCUGAUAGUACGUUUUCUUCAUCUUUUAUAGGGAGUAAAAGUAUGUCUAGAGACCAUGCUUGCAAGAUUUCCUACCCUUUUUUAGUUAGACAUUUGAUAGAGAGAACUUUUCCUCUUCAAAUAAUCAUUUUUAUUAUCUAUGAUAGGUGAAAUUGCUUAUCAAUUUUACCUGAUACUGC